AGUUUUCCAGUGACUAUAAGCGCCACUACAACCAUCAAGUGCUCAAAUGGGGUGUUUGCAUCAAAAGGUGUCAAAAAGCAAUAGAAAAGCUCUCACCAGCGGAAAGAAAUGCACUAACGGUGGAGCCAUUCCCGAUUGAUGUUCGGGUAUGAUGAAGGUGUUGCGGUGGAUUGGAAUAGAAAUGAUAGGAUAGAAUGUAAUUUCUUCUUUGCGCUAUGUUUUCUGUAGUACAAACUCGAUGAUGGCAUACUGGAAGACAUUUCUACGUACCGGGAAGCCUAUCAAGAUGUCCUGGAAAUUUGCGUCAACAAGAAGCUUAACGAUACGUACGGUUUGGUCGCUCAUACCGAGAUACUUUCGUGUGACAAAUCCACCGAUGAGGUUGUUAUAGAUGCACUCGAUAUGUCCUUCCUCAUCGUUCUAUGUGCGCUUGUAUGCUUUGUGACGCUUUCCUCCUGGUACGAUAGCUCGAUCAACUAUAAACGAACCUCCGACCACUACCGACAUCCGUUGGACAGCAAACGUAAAAUGGUUUGGGUGUCCUUCUCUAUUCAACGCAACUGGUACCGGCUAACGUCGCGAUCGAGGGACGAACUAAACCAAAAGCUGCGCUUCUUCCAGGCGUUCCGAUUUAUCAC